CCUACGGGAGGCAGCAGUGGGGAAUAUUGCGCAAUGGGCGAAAGCCUGACGCAGCGACGCCGCGUGAGGGAUGAAGGUCUUCGGAUCGUAAACCUCUGUCAGCAGGGAAGAACGGUCACUGUGCUAAUCAGCAGUGAAUUGACGGUACCUGCAAAGGAAGCACCGGCUAACUCCGUGCCAGCAGCCGCGGUAAUACGGAGGGUGCGAGCGUUAAUCGGAAUUACUGGGCGGAAAGCGCUCGUAGGCGGUAUGGCAAGUCAAGGGUGAAAUCCCCGCGCUCAACGGUGGAACUGCCUUUGAAACUGGACAGCUGGAGUGUGUGAGAGGAUAGUGGAAUUCCAGGUGUAGGAGUGAAAUCCGUAGAUAUCUGGAGGAACAUCAGUGGCGAAGGCGACUAUCUGGCACAUAACUGACGCUGAGGAGCGAAAGCGUGGGUAGCAAACAGGAUUAGAUACCCCAGUAGUC
rnacentral:rRNA from 1 species